GCAAGUCGAGGGGUAACAUUGGGUGCUUGCACUUUUGAUGACGACCGGCGCACGGGUGCGUAACGCGUAUACAAUCUACCUUAUACUGGGGGAUAGCCUUUGGAAACGAAGAUUAAUACCCCAUAGUAAGUGUUUGUGGCAUCACGGACAUUUUAAAGGUUACGGUAUAAGAUGAGUAUGCGUCCUAUUAGUUUGUAGGUGAGGUAACGGCUCACCUAGACUUCGAUAGGUAGGGGCCCUGAGAGGGGGAUC
rnacentral:rRNA from 1 species